rnacentral:rRNA from 1 species
AUCAACUUUCGAUGGUAGGAUAGAGGCCUACCAUGGUGGUAACGGGUAACGGGGUGUUAGGGCACGACACCGGAGAGGGAGCCUGAGAAACGGCUACCACAUCCAAGGAUGGCAGCAGGCGCGCAAAUUACCCAAUCCCGACACGGGGAGGUAGUGACAAUAAAUAACAAUACGGGGUUCUUUCGGAUCUCGUAAUUGGAAUGAGUACAAUUUAAAUCUCUUAACGAGGAACAAUUGGAGGGCAAGUCUGGUGCCAGCAGCCGCGGUAAUUCCAGCUCCAAUAGCGUAUAUUAAAGUUGUUGCAGUUAAAAAGCUCGUAGUUGAAUUUCGGGAUCAAUAUGUUGGUCGUGCCAUUGGUACGUACUGGCAUUAUUGGUUUCUACCUUCUGAAGAACCUCGAUGUCAUUAAUUUGGUGUCUUGGGGAAUCAGGACUGUUACUUUGAAAAAAUUAGAGUGUUUAAAGCAAGCUAACGCUUGAAUACAUUAGCAUGGAAUAAUGAAAUAGGACGUUCGAUCCUAUUUUGUUGGUUUCUAGGAUUGACGUAAUGAUUAAUAGGGAUAGUUGGGGGCAUUAGUAUUCAAUUGUCAGAGGUGAAAUUCUUGGAUUUAUUGAAGACUAACUACUGCGAAAGCAUUUGCCAAGGAUGUUUUCAUUAAUCAAGAACGAAAGUUAGGGGAUCGAAGACGAUCAGAUACCGUCGUAGUCUUAACCAUAAACUAUGCCGACUAGGGAUCGGAUGAUGUUAAUUUUUUAAUGACUCAUUCGGCGCCUUACGGGAAACCAAAGUGUUUGGGUUC